UAGGGAAUCUUCCACAAUGGACGCAAGUCUGAUGGAGCAACGCCGCGUGAGUGAAGAAGGUUUUCGGACCGUAAAGCUCUGUUGUUGGUGAAGAAGGAUAGAGGUAGUAACUGGCCUUUAUUUGACGGUAAUCAACCAGAAAGUCACGGCUAACUACGUGCCAGCAGCCGCGGUAAAUACGUAGGUGGCAAGCGUUGUCCGGAUUAUUGGGCGUAAAGCGAGCGCAGGCGGAAGAA
rnacentral:rRNA from 1 species